rnacentral:rRNA from 1 species
UUUUUAUGAGAGUUUGAUCCUGGCUCAGGACGAACGCUGGCGGCGUGCCUAAUACAUGCAAGUAGAACGCUGAAGUCUGGUG